rnacentral:misc_RNA from 1 species
UACGAGGGGUCCUAGCGUUGUUCGGAAUCAUUGGGCGUAAAGCGGGUGUAGGCGGAUUAGAAAGUCAGAUGUGAAAGCCCUGGGCUCAACCCAGGAAGUGCAUUUGAUACUCCUGAUCUUGAGUGUGGGAGAGGCUAGUGGAAUUCCUGGUGUAGUGGUGAAAUACGUAGAUAUCAGGAGGAACAUCGGUGGCGAAGGCGGCUAGCUGGACCAACACUGACGCAGACCCGAAAGCGUGGGGAGCAAACAGG